UAGGGAAUCUUCGGCAAUGGACGGAAGUCUGACCGAGCAACGCCGCGUGAGUGAAGAAGGUUUUCGGAUCGUAAAGCUCUGUUGUUAGAGAAGAACGUUGGUAGGAGUGGAAAAUCUACCAAGUGACGGUAACUAACCAGAAAGGGACGGCUAACUACGUGCCAGCAGCCGCGGUAAUACGUAGGUCCCGAGCGUUGUCCGGAUUUAUUGGGCGUAAAGCGAGCGCAGGCGGUUCUUUAAGUCUGAAGUUAAAGGCAGUGGCUUAACCAUUGUACGCUUUGGAAACUGGAGGACUUGAGUGCAGAAGGGGAGGGUGGAAUUCCAUGUGUAGCGGUGAAAUGCGUAGAUAUAUGGAGGAACACCGGUGGCGAAAGCGGCUCUCUGGUAUGUAACUGACGCUAAGGCUCGAAAGCGUGGGGAGCAAACAGG
rnacentral:rRNA from 1 species